rnacentral:rRNA from 1 species
AGCAGCCGCGGUAAUUCCAGCUCCAAUAGCGUAUAUUAAAGUUGUUGCAGUUAAAAAGCUCGUAGUUGAAUUUCGGGAUUAGUACGCUGGUCGUGCCUUCGGUAUGUACUGGUGUUACUGAUUCCUACCUUCUGACGAAUCGUCAUGUCAUUCAUUUGGUGUGGCGGGGAAUCAGGACUGUUACUUUGAAAAAUUAGAGUGUUUAAAGCAGGCUCGCGCUUGAAUACAUUAGCAUGGAAUAAUGAAAUAGGACGUUCGAUCCUAUUUUGUUGGUUUCUAGGAUUGACGUAAUGAUUAAUAGGGAUAGUUGGGGGCAUUAGUAUUCAAUUGUCAGAGGUGAAAUUCUUGGAUUUAUUGAAGACUAACUACUGCGAAAGCAUUUGCCAAGGAUGUUUUCAUUAAUCAAGAACGAAAGUUAGGGGAUCGAAGACGAUCAGAUACCGUCGUAGU